rnacentral:rRNA from 1 species
AGCACAGGAGAGCUUGCUCUCUGGGUGGCGAGUGGCGGACGGGUGAGGAAUACAUCGGAAUCUACUCUGUCGUGGGGGAUAACGUAGGGAAACUUACGCUAAUACCGCAUACGACCUACGGGUGAAAGCAGGGGACCUUCGGGCCUUGCGCGAUUGAAUGAGCCGAUGUCGGAUUAGCUAGUUGGCGGGGUAAAGGCCCACCAAGGCGACGAUCCGUAGCUGGUCUGAGAGGAUGAUCAGCCACACUGGAACUGAGACACGGUCCAGACUCCUACGGGAGGCAGCAGUGGGGAAUAUUGGACAAUGGGCGCAAGCCUGAUCCAGCCAUACCGCGUGGGUGAAGAAGGCCUUCGGGUUGUAAAGCCCUUUUGUUGGGAAAGAAAUCCAGCUGGCUAAUACCCGGUUGGGAUGACGGUACCCAAAGAAUAAGCACCGGCUAACUUCGUGCCAGCAGCCGCGGUAAUACGAAGGGUGCAAGCGUUACUCGGAAUUACUGGGCGUAAAGCGUGCGUAGGUGGUCGUUUAAGUCCGUUGUGAAAGCCCUGGGCUCAACCUGGGAACUGCAGUGGAUACUGGACGACUAGAGUGUGGUAGAGGGUAGCGGAAUUCCUGGUGUAGCAGUGAAAUGCGUAGAGAUCAGGAGGAACAUCCAUGGCGAAGGCAGCUACCUGGACCAACACUGACACUGAGGCACGAAAGCGUGGGGAGCAAACAGA